UGGGACUACUGGGGUUUCUAAUCCUGUUUGCUACCCACGCUUUCGCGCCUCAGCGUCAGUUGAUGCCCAGUUUGCUGCCUUCGCCAUGGGUGUUCCUCCUGAUAUCAACACAUUUCACCGUUACACCAGGAAUUCCACAAACCUCUGCAUCACUCAAGCUAGCCAGUAUGCGGUGCAGUUUCCGGGUUGAGCCCUGGAGAUUUCACACCACACUUAACAAGCCGCCUACGCGCUCUUUACGCCCAGUAAAUCCGGACAACGCUUGGACCCUACGUCUUACCGCGGCUGCUG
rnacentral:misc_RNA from 1 species